rnacentral:rRNA from 1 species
AGCAGCCGCGGUAAUUCCAGCUCCAAUAGCGUAUAUUAAAGUUGUUGCAGUUAAAAAGCUCGUAGUUGAAUUUCGGGACCAAUUUGUUGGUCGUGCCUCGGUACGUACUGGUAUUAUUGGUUUCUCCCUUCUGAAGAACCUCGAUGCCAUUAAUUUGGUGUCGUGGGGAAUCAGGACUGUUACUUUGAAAAAAUUAGAGUGUUUAAAAGCAAGCAUACGCUUGAAUACAUUAGCAUGGAAUAAUGAAAUAGGACGUUUGAUUCUAUUUUGUUGGUUUCUAGGAUCGACGUAAUGAUUAAUAGGGAUAGUUGGGGGCAUUAGUAUUCAAUUGUCAGAGGUGAAAUUCUUGGAUUUAUUGAAGACUAACUACUGCGAAAGCAUUUGCCAAGGAUGUUUUCAUUAAUCAAGAACGAAAGUUAGGGGAUCGAAGACGAUCAGAUACCGUCGUAGUCUUAACCAUAAACUAUGCCGACUAGGGAUCGGAUGAUGUAAUUUUUAAUGACUCAUUCGGCGCCUUACG